rnacentral:rRNA from 1 species
CAGUCGCCACGGGAAUACGUAGGGGGCAAGCGUUGUCCGGAAUCAUUGGGCGUAAAGAGCGUGUAGGCGGCUCGGUAAGUCCGCUGUGAAAGUCCAGGGCUCAACCCUGGAAUGCCGGUGGAAACUGUCGAGCUAGAGUCCGGAAGAGGCGAGUGGAACUCCUGGUGUAGCGGUGAAAUGCGCAGAUAUCAGGAAGAACACCAAUGGCGAAGGCAGCUCGCUGGGACGGUACUGACGCUGAGACGCGAAAGCGUGGGGAGCAAACAGGAUUAGAUACCCCGGUAGUCCCUGUCUCUUAUAC